UUGGCUUAGAAGCAGCCAUCCUUGAAAGAGUGCGUAAUAGCUCACUGGUCAAGUGGUUCUGCGCCGACAAUGUAGCGGGGCUCAAGCGUACCGCCGAAGCUGUGGCAGCAACACGUGUAGCUGGCGCCAGGAACUGGAUUGUUGGUGUGUUGUUGGGUAGGGGAGCGUCCUGCAUGAGGUGAAGCCUGGAGGUGACUUCUGGUGGAUUGUGUGGGAGUGAGAAUGCAGGCAUGAGUAACGAAUCUGCGGUGAGAAUCCGCAGCGCCGAUUGACUAAGGGUUCCAGGGCUAGGUUUAUCCGCCCUGGGUUAGUCGGGUCCUAAGGCGAGGCCGACAGGCGUAGUCGAUGGACAACCAGUUGAUAUUCUGGUACCGCGUUGUGACCGCCCAUGCUGAAGUCAUUGUGCUAACCAAUUUGCUCACGCCUCCACGUGACCUUCGGGUCGCGUGGUGUGUGUGGGUCUUGGGGUCCCGGUGAUUGUAGGCAAGCGUGUUAACAGGGGUGACGCAGACAGGUAGCUGCAGUGCGCCGAUGGUUGUGCGUAUUUAAGGUUGUGGCCCGUCUUCCAGGUAAAUCCGGGGGACAUUGUGGGUGAGAACUGAUGAGGGACACACGCGUGUGUGGACUUGUGGUGAUCCUAAGCUGCCGAGAAAAGCCUCGACGUGAGGGCAUGACGCGCCCGUACCCUAAACCGACUCAGGUGGUCAGGUAGAGUAUACCGAGGCGUUCGAGUGAAUCGUGGUUAAGGAACUCGGCAAAAUUCCUCCGUAACUUCGGGAUAAGGAGGACCCCGUGACUUCCCAAUGCUUUGCGUGUUGGUGGGGUUGUGGGGUCGCAGAGAAUAGGGAGAAGCGACUGUUUAUCAAAAACACAGGUGCGUGCGAAGCCGUAAGGCGAUGUAUACGCACUGACGCCUGCCCGGUGCUGGAAGGUUAAGAGGAACCGUCAACAUCCCUUGUGGGUGUGAAGCGGUGAAUUUAAGCCCCAGUAAACGGCGGUGGUAACUAUAACCAUCCUAAGGUAGCGAAAUUCCUUGUCGGGUAAGUUCCGACCUGCACGAAUGGCGUAACGACUUCUCCGCUGUCUCGACCGUGAACUCGGCGAAAUUGCAGUACGAGUAAAGAUGCUCGUUUCGCGCAGAAGGACGGAAAGACCCCGGGACCUUUACUAUAGCUUGGUAUUGGUGUUCGCUUGGACUUGUGUAGGAUAGGUGGGAGACUGUGAAGCUGCCGCGCCAGCGGUGGUGGAGUCGUCGUUGAAAUACCAUUCUGGUUCAAGCGGUCACCUCAACCUUGGCCCGUGAUCCGGGUUGGGGACAGUGCCUGGUGGGUAGUUUAACUGGGGCGGUUGCCUCCUAAAAUGUAACGGAGGCGCUCAAAGGUUCCCUCAGCCUGGUUGGUAAUCAGGUGGCGAGUGCAAGUGUACAAGGGAGCUUGACUGUGAGACCGACGGGUCGAGCAGGUGCGAAAGCAGGAACUAGUGAUCCGGCCAUGGCACGUGGGUGCGUGGUCGCUCAACGGAUAAAAGGUACCCCGGGGAUAACAGGCUGAUCUUGCCCAAGAGUCCAUAUCGACGGCAUGGUUUGGCACCUCGAUGUCGGCUCGUCGCAUCCUGGGGCUGGAGUCGGUCCCAAGGGUUGGGCUGUUCGCCCAUUAAAGCGGUACGCGAGCUGGGUUCAGAACGUCGUGAGACAGUUCGGUCCCUAUCCUCUGUGCGCGCAGGAAAUUUGAGAAGGGCCGUCCCUAGUACGAGAGGACCGGGAUGGACGAACCUCUGGUGUGCCAGUUGUACCGCCAGGUGCAUGGCUGGUUAGCUACGUUCGGAAGGGAUAACCGCUGAAAGCAUCUAAGCGGGAAGCCUGCUUCAAGAUGAG
rnacentral:rRNA from 1 species